GCCCUUAUAGCUCAGUGGUAGAGCGCAUCACUAGUAUUCAGUUAGUUAAUGAUUACGUAAUAGAAUGAUGAGGUCCUCUGUUCGAUCCAGGGUGAGGGCA